rnacentral:rRNA from 1 species
GCGAAUGGAUUAAGAGCUUGCUCUUAUGAAGUUAGCGGCGGACGGGUGAGUAACACGUGGGUAACCUGCCCAUAAGACUGGGAUAACUCCGGGAAACCGGGGCUAAUACCGGAUAAUAUUUUGAACCGCAUGGUUCGAAAUUGAAAGGCGGCUUCGGCUGUCACUUAUGGAUGGACCCGCGUCGCAUUAGCUAGUUGGUGAGGUAACGGCUCACCAAGGCAACGAUGCGUAGCCGACCUGAGAGGGUGAUCGGCCACACUGGGACUGAGACACGGCCCAGACUCCUACGGGAGGCAGCAGUAGGGAAUCUUCCGCAAUGGACGAAAGUCUGACGGAGCAACGCCGCGUGAGUGAUGAAGGCUUUCGGGUCGUAAAACUCUGUUGUUAGGGAAGAACAAGUGCUAGUUGAAUAAGCUGGCACCUUGACGGUACCUAACCAGAAAGCCACGGCUAACUACGUGCCAGCAGCCGCGGUAAUACGUAGGUGGCAAGCGUUAUCCGGAAUUAUUGGGCGUAAAGCGCGCGCAGGUGGUUUCUUAAGUCUGAUGUGAAAGCCCACGGCUCAACCGUGGAGGGUCAUUGGAAACUGGGAGACUUGAGUGCAGAAGAGGAAAGUGGAAUUCCAUGUGUAGCGGUGAAAUGCGUAGAGAUAUGGAGGAACACCAGUGGCGAAGGCGACUUUCUGGUCUGUAACUGACACUGAGGCGCGAAAGCGUGGGG